UCUAAAGUAGCUUAGUUGAGAGAGCAUUAGACUGAAAAUCUAAAGGUUCCUGGUUCAAUCCCAGGCUUUGAGAG